GACAGAGCAUGAGCAGGGGAGGGGCAGAGAGAGAGGGAGACACAGAAUCCGAGGCAGGCUCCGGGCUCCGAGCUGUCAGCACAGAGCCCAAUGCGGGGCUCGAACUCACAGACCACAAGAUCAUGACCUGAGCCUAAGUCGGAGGCCCAACCGACUGAGCCAAUCAGGCACCCCUCCCGUAGAAUGUUUCUGAAUAAAGGUCCUGAAGUGUGUCACUGUCACAUAGCAGCGUCGCUUGCUGCUCCAUCUCCAUCUCAGGCUGGACGGUCACAUGAAGGGACAUGUGAAAAAGAGGCCACAAAUAAUCCGCUUCAGGUUGAAACUUUUAAACCACAGCUCAAAACAAUGACUACUUUAGAAAACUUACCAAGGUCAAGAGAGGCCUCAGUGCAGCCUAAAAAGAGGAACUGAGAAUUCACCUGGCAAGUUUCUCUAGGUCAUUCUUGGAAAACCCCAGGCUUACAUCCAUUACGUCAGAAGGCCUUCGAAAACAUACCACAUUAGAGCUGGAACGAAUCUGAGAGAAUGUUCCAACAGUCACAGUUUGAUAUGAAGGAAUGAAGGGGCAGAGAGGAGGAAUGACUUGGCCAAAGCCACCAGAUUUUAGAACUGGGGCUAAAACCCAGGCCUUGCAAUUUUGAAUCUUCUGCUUGUGUCUCCCCCCGCCCCCACCCACCCCUUCUGCCCCCUUUCCAUUCAACACAUUGCAUUAAAUCUACCAAUUAACUCCAACUCUUUCAGGCUAGGAUGUAAAGGAGGCUUCCGGUGAGCAGGUGGGCAUGAGCCUUUCCGAAGGGCUGACAGGUGUGGCCUCUUAAUAACCCCUGAUAACACUGGCUGCGGGUGGCCUGUCUCCUGCCACUUGCCACUGAGGCUCAGUGGAGCCUGUGACUGGAGAUCCAGGUCAGGCUCACCACUGUCUGGGUGUCCUUGGACACAGAGCAGGGCCAGACGUGUGGGAGGGGACAGGGAGAGAACUUUGGCAUAAUUCAACACAAUAAAGGGACACUCUCAUGUUUGCUGUAAUGUUGUGCUUCGAACUCCUUCAGUCCUCUCAAGCCUCCCCUCCCCGUUUCCUCAAAGAAACAACUCUGACUUUCUUAUUUCCAGUCAUUUCCUUUCACUAACGGCCUUCCCUUCAGAUUCCUUCUGCUUCCCUCCCUCCGUCCAUUCCCUCCGGUUCCUUCACCUUUGCUUCUUGGUUGUGUCUCUCACUUCCUUCACUGUGUUUCAACACCUUCUGCACUUGUAGCUCAAACUGACAAGUUUUCUGAUCGCCAUGAGUUGGUAUCAUGAUUAAGUGUGUUGAAAUACGUCAACAUUUGAGAAGAAUGUCUGAUGUAUAAUAAACAUCCCCUAAGGUCUUUUUUUUUUUUUUACUUAUUAUUAUUACUAUUCCAUUUGUUCUCUUAUCUUUCUCUUGUUCUGCCAUUGGUUCUAUUUUAUUUUAUGCUCAUUUAAUAAAUUUUGUCCUGUCCCUGAGUUCUCCAUUCCAUUUUGAAUGCUCCCUCCAUGUCUACCCUUCCUGUAGACCCAACAGAACU